UAAGCACAGGGGAUUGUCCAGACAGCCAGGAGGCCAGCGAAGCCAAGUCCUUCAGUACAGUCUGGGAGCCUCCAGGAAGCUGUUAGGAGUUGCCAUGAUGGGUGCAUUUGGACUCACAGAAUCUGCCUUCCAAUCUCAGUGCUGCUUCUACUCCUUUGCUACCUUAGGUUGGACAACCACAGACAUUGCCAAGAAAUGUAUCUGUUCUACUUGCACACCUUCACCACCUGGAUGCUGCUUGAGGACACAGAUCUGGUCCAUCAGAUUUCUCUCUGUACUCCUCUCUAUAUUUCGCCAUGUUUGAUAUAGACCCAUCAAUGGCUCCCUAGAAUAAAAUCUCAACUCUUCACUGUG
rnacentral:lncRNA from 1 species